CCUCUUUUUCUCUUAUUCACGUCUUCUUUUCCUCACCACUCUCUUUACUCUCAUUUUCAAUUGGUUUCUGCAGCAAUUUAUAAUCCUUGUUCCUUUCAUCUUGUUCUCAUCACCAAUCUCAUCUCGUUCAUUUUCUUUGUGGCAGCGCCCACACACAACUGUGCCUUUUUCCUUCAUGAUCAAGCCACCACCUUGGUUCUCUCUUCACCCACGCAAGGCACAAACCACCACCACCUCUAAGGCAUUUUCAUGGGUAAGAAGGACGGAAGCGCUUGACGACGAAGCCAAAGAACAAACGGAAGUGAGCCAACACGGGAAAGCAAAGAUAUGACUGGAUUUGAUUUGAGUCGCAACUUAGUAAGGAAAGCGCCGAAGAUGUCGAUGGUCGACUGGUUCUCGACGGUCUCUCCCUCGGGGGAGAUCAGAUACGAGCUGCUGGAUCGGGAUGCCCCCACCGCUUGGGUGAUCGAUGUAGCGGGUCACCGGGCGACGUAUCGGGGAAGGGUCAUGGAGGACCGGACUGACGAGCGUGGACGUCUGACGAAAGGAGUUCUAUGGCGCAUAGAGUUGAGCUUCAACUUGCCGACUUCAGAUCGUUGUGGGUUUGGCACUGGGAGGUUAGGUUUGGGCAGGCGUCAUGUUUUGUGUAGAGCUCUGAUUCGUUUUGCUUUUGGGAUCGGGUAGGUUCCGACGCAUGACUUUUCGUGUGGUUCUCUUACUGAGGGAUCACAGUGAGUCAGUUGGACCAUAGGGGUCUUUGCUUAGGCCAUAUUGAGGCCGACUUUCUCCUAGUGGUUUGUAAUUUUAAUUUUCUCACUUACACUUCUGGGUCUGUAGAUAUUUGCCUACGGGCACACUGCUUUGGAGUCACUGCGAGUGCGCGUGACGUGGGAGUGCAGCUGAGGCUGUACAUGUUUAUAUUUGAUGUAUGUUGGUUAGUUUAGUA